GGCCGGCUCACGUGGGGGACGAAUGCAGACGAAUGGCCGGUUGGUCAGUGGUCUGUGCCUUUGUGUUUGUUUUUAUGUAGAAUAUCAACGGCGUUGUGCUAAUGGCGCUUAUACGAGGUCGAAGUUGGUGCGACCAAGAACCCGUUUUGCACGCUGAGACUUCGCAUGGGAGGCAAAACUUGUCGUUACGGCACCACGGCAGUAAAUACAGCCCGUUCGACGACAA
rnacentral:lncRNA from 1 species